UACCAUCAGCCAUGAUAUCUUCCUAGGCUAGCUCCAAGAGGUUAUCAUAGAGGUGACUCUUAAUGUAAUCCUGAUCCAACAUCCAGUUUGAUUUCCUGACGGUAGCACUGGAUCACCGUGUUUCUGCCACCUUGACAAUUUGAUUAUGUGGGGUGCCAAGUCUACUCAACACUAUUUAAGAUCCAGUUCUGGGCACCACACUUCAAGAAGGAUAUUGACAAACUGGAAUGUGUCUAGAAGGGGGCUGCCAAGUCACCCAGUCUGGUUAUUGGCAGGAUGAGAGUUAAGUCAGGCUUUCCAUCACUAUAUCCUGUACAAUGAGCCCAUGGUAUCCAUUAAGGUUUGGUUCCAGGACACCUGUGGAUACUAAAGUCCAUAGAUGCCCAAGUCCCAUUGUGUACAGUGGCAAAUAAAUAAAUAAAUGGCAGGCCUCAUAUAAAAAGGAAAAAUCAAGAUUUAUUUUGUGGCUUAAAAAAUCCCAGCAACAUUCAAGCUGUGGAUGUUUGAAUCCGUGGAUGAAGAAUCCAUGGGUAUAGCGGGCAAACUGUACUGACUCAUUUACUGUAGUUCUGGUAUAACAUUCUUGUUUUCAAGGAUUGUGUAAACCAUCUUCCUACCUUCUCUUUCUGUGUAUUGAUUGCAGAGAGGACACAGAACUUCUUUUCCCAAUAAAGUUAACUUUCCUUUGUUGUGGCAAAGUGAAUUUUUAAACUCUGAAUAUUUUUGUAAGCAACAAAAUCCUUCAAACUUGCUCUAAGAGGGUUAAAAAAUCCCUUUCCCAUCAUUUCUCCUGCCCCCCUCCCUUAAGGACGCCAUGGUUAAAAUAAGUCUAUACCCAGAGUAACCCUAAUUUCCAUAUGCAGAUUUCUCUCUCCACUAGCAGCCUCUUUCUCCAGUCUCCCCCUCUCUCUCAUUGUGUCUGUCUGAUUUUUCAGACCAUCUUUAUUCCAUCUUCUCUCUUUCCCAGCCUAGUCUUUUCUGCAGGACAAAGCUAUAAUAUCCUCCAAGCAAAGAUUUUAAGGUGGUUGUUCCAGGCAUGAAACAAUGAAGCAGCAGGGGAGUAAGAGUAGAAGUAAUACUCUUAAUUUGGGCUUCCUCUGCCUCCCUUCCCAGUAAAGUUGCCCAGGACAAAGUACCUAGACAAAAGAGACUCUAUAGUGGACCCCUCAGAGGAAGCAGAUGUCCUGGACUUUUGAUUAUCUUUGGCAUGAAAAAUACAACAAGCAGAGGAAACACAUCGGCACAAAAGCCUGCAGUCCGGCAGCUACAUUUUCUCUGUGGGAGCAGAUUCUCAGUGUCUUCCAAGAAGGCGCAACAUGCUGCAUGCCCAGUGAGUUGGAUUUAGUAGCAAAAGAGGUUGGAGUUCUCCGGAAUGACAAAGAGACCAGAGGAGCAGACCUGGCUAUGGCUCACGAAUGGGACCUUGAAGGAGGAAACAGAAGGCCUGAUCCUUGCAGCCCAGGAGCAAGCCAUCAGGACAAAUGCAAUUAAGGCCAAGAUUGAAAACUCAGCUGAUGACCCAAAAUGCAGACUGUGCAAGGAAGCUGACGGAACCACUGAUCAUAUCCUCAGCUGCUGUAAGAAAAUCGCACAGACAGACUACAAACAGGCACAACUAUGUGGCCCAAAUGAUUCAUUGGAACUUAUGCCUAAAGUACCACCUCCCAGCAGCAAAGAACUGUUGGGAUCACAAACGUGCAAAAGUAUUGGAAAAUGAGCACGCAAAGAUACUGUGGGACUUCUGAAUCCAGACUGACAAAAUUCUGGAACAGAACACACCAGACAUCACAGUUGUGGAAAAGAAAAAGGUUUGGAUCAUUGACGUUGCCAUCCCAGGUGACAGUCGCAUUGACGAAAAACAACAGGAAAAACUCAGCUGCUAUCAGGACCUCAAGAUUGAACUUCAAAGACUCUGGCAGAAACCAGUGCAGGUGGUCCCAGUGGUGAUGGGCACAUUGGGUGCCGUGCCAAAAGAUCUCAGCCGGCAUUGGGAAACAAUAGACAUUGACAAAAUUACGAUCUGUCAACUGCAAAAGGCCACCCUACUGGGAUCUGCACGCAUCAUCCGAAAAUACAUCACACAGUCCUAGACACUUGGGAAAUAUUCGACUUGUGAUUUUGUGAAACGAAAUCCAGCAUAUCUAUCUUGUUUGCUGUGUCAUACAAUAAAAUAAUAAUUUAACUGCUCCUACUAUAAAUGGAAGAAGGAAUUAAGAAGGAAAACCCUUUAGGUCAAUCAGGGCCCUCAGCGAAGGCCACAUGCAGGCAUAGAUUGGAUCUGCGCUGACUAUAUAAUGCACUUCCAAACUGCAUUGUAUGACAGUGUAGAUACAGCCUUAGCUAGUUGAGAGCCUUUCCUAACUGUUCCAAAAGCUAAUUCACCUGGAAGCCAUGGAAUCACUCAGGGUGCAUCUGCAUUGUAGAAUUAAUGUAGUCUGACACCACUUUAACUGCCAUGGCUCUUUAUAUUCUAAAAUCCCAUAAAAUAUAUUAAAGGAAAAGCAUGCUAUCAGUCUCCAGGCUCACGGUAUAUGGUUAAAACAACAAAGACAAUACUCUGGCAAGUAUGGUAGCCAUAUUUUACUACCACCAGUUGAGGACUUCAGCUCAUGCUGAAGGCAUCUCCCUCCAGUAUCAAAUGAAUAUAAAUUGUUCUGAUGGGAGAGGAAGUGACCUAAAAUGAUCUUCAGUGGAAUUCCACUUCAGUGGAAUUCUACACAUUUGAACAGGACUAGAAGUUGGUUCACAUGGCUAUUGGUCUACCUGACCUAUGGCGAAAUAAGUACUAUAUCUGAGGUGGAAGCAAUUGCUGCAGAUACAGGAACCACACUUCUCCUGAUGUGAUCUUAUAAGGGCUGCAUGCACUGCCAAAAUAUGUGCCCCUUUCCAACCCAAACUCCAGCCAGUGCUACCUUUGUUCACUUCUGGUCCUACUGAAAAAGAGGUGUACAAAUAAAUUCAGAGGCUUUGAAGAUGGAUACAACUAGAUGUUAGUGUGUGAGAGAGGAUGGCCUAUGAGGAGGUGACAGAGAAAAAAAGAAAAAGAAAAGAUGCAGAAGAAAGGACAAGAAAAGAAGGGCAGAGAGGGAAAUUUACUUUGUCACAGUAUUCUUAAAUGAAAAUAGAUUUCAUGGGCAAGGAAAAGAGUGUCAAGCGAGCUCUGAGAUCAGCUGGGGAGGCUCUCUACUUGGUCCCACCUCUGUCUCAAGUACAGUCGGUGGGGACGAGGGAGAGGGCCUUCUCGGUGGUGGCCCCCCGGCUCUGGAAUGCCCUCCCCAGGGAGAUCAGGCAAGCCCCCACACUGUCCUAUUUCCAUUGGGACCUGAAGACCUGGCUGUUCAAAUAAGCUUUUGAGAACGCCUAGGCCCCAAUCAAACAAGUUUCUGAGAACACCUAGGUCCCCAGUUGACCAACAUCAUUUUUAUAGAGCCUUACACUUCAUCCCUUGUCCCAUGGUUGUAGUUUUGUACUUACCCCUUGCCCUUGCACUAGUGUUACAGCCUGGCUAUGUUUACCACAGCUAAUUGUUAUUGGAUUGUUGAAUGCCGUUUAAACAGAGCUUUAAGUCAUGGUUUUAUAUGCUUGUUUUAUUCAAUUUGUGUUUUUAUUUUAGAUGUGGCGGGCUACAAGAAUAAAUUUAUUAUUUAUUAUAUUAAUAAUGAGAACUGAUAUGGCAGUCUUUACAGCUGCUGGGGAAAAGAAGUGGUGCCAGUCUGAAUUAGGACAAGGGAAGUGUGUGGCUAUCAAUAACAUUUCAGUGUGGUAUAUUACAAGUAGGGAAGAAUCCAUGGCAGAAUUCUCUGAAUUGCAGCUGGAUUAUUUUGCUGAUGUGGACAGCCCCUUAUCUCACUGGAGAAAGUAACAGAUGCAUGAUCUUCUAGGUGUGCCUCCAUGUAUAUGUUGUAUCUCUCUACAAUUAAUAUUUACACAAAUAUUAUUAUUUACGGAUUUAAAAUAUAUGAGGUAUUGGUUUUCCUUCUCUCCUUAAGGUAUCUAUGAGAAUUGGGGGAGGGGGGAGGAGUAUUAAAACACUAUACAUGUUAAAUCAAAAAGAGAAUAACCUGAAUUAAAUUGGUAGUGACAAUUAAAGUGGACCCAUUGUAGAAUAGUGAUCCAACAUUUAUGUGAAUACAGUUAGUCUAAUGCACUUAUUCUAGUAAUAGUUGUAUUCAAGUCAGUCUAGUAGCAUUCAUCUAAGUCUAGCCAGAAACCUAAUCUGAAAACCAUGAUAAUAGUAGAGCAUUGUGAACAUGCAGCUUAAUGUGAUCAAAUAUCAGUGUUGGUCAACAUUCAACAGAAGUCUCCAGUGGAAACUCAUGUGUUGGGAGUGCAUGCAGGAUUCUCACUAUUUAAUAUGCCUGUUCCUUUUCUUCUCCUUCCAGUCUGGAAAAUGUUCUGAUUGUUGCCCUGGAUUGAGAUUAAGGGAUGCAAUGCUCUAAAAAAGAUCAAACUCUGCUUUCAGUAGACUUUAAUAGAAUGCUUUUGUAUGUAUGUCAGACUUCAAUAUUUUGGAACAAAUAUUCCUAAUUAUAUAUUUGCAUAAGACAAUGAACAUAUAUAGCAGUUCCUGUUGACUCAGUUAAUGCUACAUUUAGAAUAGAAAUGACAUGUUUUAGAAUGGAAAAAUGAAGAUAUAUCUGCCCCAAGUUGUUUCCAGAGUUGGAUUACUGUGAGUGCACUAGUUAAAUUUCAAUCUCUGCAACAGAUUUUCUUUAUAAAUUUAGACAUUCUUGGCCUUUUAAAAAUGUAAUAUGUGUGUCGUCUUUUGUUCUCUUGAGAUUUUAUUGCAUUCUCACAAUGACAUCUUUUCAUCCUUUUUUCUUUUGAAAUAAAGAUAGCUUUGUCCCCGAGGAUUGCUUUUAGAGA